GAUGAACGCUGGCGGCGUGCCUAAUACAUGCAAGUCGAGCGAACAGAUAAGGAGCUUGCUCCUUUGACGUUAGCGGCGGACGGGUGAGUAACACGUGGGUAACCUACCUAUAAGACUGGAAUAACUCCGGGAAACCGGGGCUAAUGCCGGAUAACAUUUAGAACCGCAUGGUUCUAAAGUGAAAGAUGGUUUUACUAUCACUUAUAGAUGGACCCGCGCCGUAUUAGCUAGUUGGUAAGGUAACGGCUUACCAAGGCAACGAUACGUAGCCGACCUGAGAGGGUGAUCGGCCACACUGGAACUGAGACACGGUCCAGACUCCUACGGGAGGCAGCAGUAGGGAAUCUUCCGCAAUGGGCGAAAGCCUGACGGAGCAACGCCGCGUGAGUGAUGAAGGUCUUCGGAUCGUAAAACUCUGUUAUUAGGGAAGAACAAAUGUGUAAGUAACUAUGCACGUCUUGACGGUACCUAAUCAGAAAGCCACGGCUAACUACGUG
rnacentral:rRNA from 1 species